rnacentral:lncRNA from 1 species
AUCACUUACUGAUUAGGAUCUCCUCCAUAGCUAGCAAUAGUAUCACAAAUAAAUGAAAAUGCCUCAAAAGCAUCACUGACCAUGUCACUUAUUGUUCCUUGGGGCAAAUUUCUGCAAGAUAUAUUUACAUAUUUCAUCAACCAGACAUAUGUCAAUCUAUACUUACUCGCCUAGAAGUCAUGAAAUUAGAUAGAAAUGCCAUCAAAGGGUAAGCACCUAUAAUCAAUGCAAGCGACUAUAAUUCCACGCUCCGCUAACCGUCUUCCAAGAAGAGCACCCCACGCCCUGUAACUAAACAGAAUCAUGACCAUCAACAACGGAAGUCACGGAGAAAGGUGUCUUGAUAUGUACCUUAUCUCCUCCUCUAUAUGGACCAGCUGGUGAUAGAUGUGUGGCUGUAGAGAGAGAGUUGACAGUAAACAAACCGAAAGCA